rnacentral:lncRNA from 1 species
GCCGCCUCCCAUGCCACAGCCACCUCCCGUCGAUCGUACCCAAAUCCUCUGCGCGUGGUGGGAUUCCCUCAUGAGCCAUCGGUGUGCCGUUGCGCCGCCGUCGUUUGUCGCCAUCUUCACAUCGCCGCACCCGUUCCUUCCCAAAUCCUUCCUCGGGUGACCUAGGCAACCCCUAAGGUGAGAUGCCGCUGCCACAUCCCUUCCCUCUGGAUCGCAGUCCCUCUAAGCAGCAUCAUCCAUCCCCUUGACUCUCGCAUAGCGGUCAUUCCGGCGCCUUCCGAUCUCCCUAUUCUGUAGCGCAAAUUUAGGUUGUUGCGGGUGUUCAUGUGGCAGCAGCUUGUUUGGGCUACGAUUCUCAGGGGUGAUCCAGCUCAUCCCGGUGACACAGUGACGCGUAUGUGGGUGUUAGUCCCAGCCUCCCAGGUUUUGUCGGUUCUGGUGAGGAGAAUUUGCGUAAGGAGAUUGGGGUAGGAUUUGGGGAUGAGUACUCUUUGGGAACAUCGGUUGCUGAAUCUCAUGUCGUAGUUCACGGUGUUAGAUUUGCAGCUGGAGAAGAAACACGGCCGUGACCUUGUGCAAAUAUUCUAUAUGUCCAUGGAGCAGUAGAAAGGAAAACUACUUUUCUUUAACAUUAUAAAUAUAUUUUUAUCAUGGAUGUGGGAUUUCAUGUUUUAAGCAGGAACUCAUGUUUGACUACUCGCUGGUAGAUUGUCGGAUUUCAUGUAAGAUCCAUAGUAUACAAUGUGCAGGAAUUUAUGUUUUGUACUAACCUGAUGUUGUUGACGUAGUAGAGUACGACAAUCUCAGUUGAUUUCAAGGAAAGUGGCAGCGACUACCAUGAAUAGACAUCAUGUCCAGUGGCGACGCCACAAGAAUCACGUGUGUGCUUCAAUUCAAGACAAUGUCACCCUUUUACACUACGUCCACGUUGGUCAUGCCUACCCUUGAGGUACAACUCUCCUCUCCCUUACACAAUAUGACUAGGCUGGCGAUAAGGGUCAUGGCUUCAGAUCAAUAAGACAUGGCUUAGCCCUAACGUAAUACAAGGUGCCGACACAGACUGCAGAUACACUAUGAAAAUAUCAAAAUGUUGACUCGUAUGAGUUUCAUAGUAUAUGUAAUUAUGUACAUUGUAUUUGUGGAUCAAUAUUGUGUAAAAUAGAUGGGCGCGGCAACGCGCGCCAUCAAUGAUCUAGUUUCAUGGUAUAAGGUGUGUCGUCCUAAGUAACUUGGAGGCCUAGGCAUCAUUGAUCUUAGGAAGGAAGGGAUCGCGUUGCAAUUACGCUAGGCUUGGCUGCAACGCGCUGCUGAUACGAGACCAUGGAAGAGACUUCCCCUCGCCAUCGAUUCAUAUGUUCAAGGGACUUUCAACAGCCUUGUGCGUUGGCAUGUGGGAUCGGUCGACCACAUCGUUUUUCGGAAGGAUCGAUGGCUCGACGGUGCUACUAUCCUGAGAUCGCACCAAUUGUGGUUGCUCAUAUAAAAGCUCAAACGAUCAACCAUCGCAAGUCACUGAUGGUUUGCACUUGAACCAAUGGUUGUCCGACAUCAGAGGUGAGUUAUCCACUCAAGGAAUGGUGGGACGCCCUAUUGUCAGUGGAUCUAUUUGCUGGGCAUGAUGAUCAAGCAAUCUGGAAGUGGAACGAACAAGGAAUCUACACAUUGGCGUUGGCCUAUCAAUGCUUUUCCAUUGUGGUGUGGUUGUUGAGGGAGUCCUGGAUUUGGGGGUCCUCGAAUGUCUGGCCUAUCCAAUAUGGGCCGGACUGGUGGGCCGUGAUAAAGUGGAAGACCACCCCCCGUGUCCGGGUAGGACUCAUGUGUGCGUGGGUAGCAAGAUUGGUGUCCGGAUAUGCUCUUUCCUUCUCCUAUAAACCGACUUGGUGUAACCCUAGGCCCCUCCGGUGUGUAUAUAAACCGAAGGGUUUAGUCCGUAGAGGCUAUCAUAAUAUUCAUAGGCUAGACAAUUAGGGUUUAGCCAUUACAAUCUCGAGAUAGAUCAACUCUUGUAACCCCUAUAUUCAUCGAAUAUAGUCAAGCAGGACGUAGGGUUUUACCUCCUUAAAGAGGACCCGAACCUGGGUAAACAUUGUGUCCCUUUGUCCAUUGUUACCAUUGAUCCUUAUAUGCACAGCUUGGGCCCCUUACCCGAGAUCUGUCGGUUUUAACACCGACAUUGGUGCUUUCAUUGAGAGCCCUGUUGUGCAGUCCUGAAAAAGCGAUCUAUGGUUCGCCUAGUCAUCAACGACAACAUCACCUCUGGAAGGAGCCUAACUUCUGGGCAGAUCCUCCAGCUCGGCGGUUUCAUCAUAGGUGCCCGUAUCGCCAUCAAGACAAUAGCGCCCCCCUACGAUCGUCGAACACCGUCUCCUCAUCGGUCUCGAGUACUCCGAAAAGAUGGAUCCGGCAGACAUCUCGUCCUUAAACGAGCUGCUAGAUCGCAUCGCCGCCCUUGGGGCUUCAACGAAUUAUGGUUGGAUUGGGCUUAAACCUGACAAGAGGGAAAUCAAUCACCCACCGAUCACACACCUGGUAGCGGUCAUCGAGGAAUGAGCCGAUGACAUCUCUCUCCCUAUGUUGAGAACCAAAAAUGUUCGGGUCUCCGAACCCCUCGAGUCAGAUACCCUCCCUUCGGAUGGGACUCCGCGUCCCCCGAACUCUAGAUCAGACGUAGGAUUGGGGGAGCACUUGGAUCUCCCCGGGCCCGAAUCGGUCACCUCAGAGAUUUUGCAAGCUCUGAACAUAGAUGUGGGUCGGGAUUCAAAUUUUAGCCCACCCACCCACCACAAUCAAUACUCUCCAAGCAAUUCAGGCCCUCCAGACAUAUAUGACCUGAUGUAUGUACGACAGCAACCUCAGGAAACGGUCCAUCACUUUUGGGCCAGAUUCCUACUUGUUAAAAACAAGAUCAAAGAUUGCUGCGACGACGAUGUAAUCUCGGUCUUCCAUCGCAAUUGUACCGACGAGGGAAUCCAGAAUGCCCUCGACCAUCGUCACAUAUAGAGCUUCAUGGAACUAUCACAAGUGGUACAAAAGUACUGCGCGAUGGAAAGCACAUGGAAGGCCCAGAAAACUCAACUAGAGCUUGUUGCCUUUAAGCAGUGUGCGGCCCGGGCUAAACGGAUACACCCUAGCGAGGCAUCCGACUGUCAGUCCGUUGGCAGAAAAAACAAACCCUUUACAGGACACAGGUCCGUUCUUGACGAACUCUUUGACAAUCCCCGUCCGAUACAUGCGACUCCAAGUAUAGACUCAACCCAUAGUCUUCGCGCAUGUUGGGUACUCAGGCAGGUAGCAAAAAGCGGGGAGGUCAUCCUCGCCACCAUCACUCUAGGGAAAUACUCUCCGAAGAGGGACAAUUUUAACGUCCUCACGGUCUUCGAGACCUUUUCUUCAAAUAAUCGGUGAAAAAGGGCACUCCAUGACCUCGCCGAAGUCCACCAAGUAACCGCACUGAGCCCGUGGAACAAGGCGGCAAUAACCUUCACUGCCAAAGACGAACCAAAGGCCCGGUCAGUCCGAGCACCCACCACCCUAGUACUAAACCCCAUUGUGGACGGUUUUCGACUUACCAAAGUGCUCAUGGACGGCGACAGUGGGCUUAACCUCAUCUACGAGGACACGCUCGACAAAAUGCAGAUUGACAGAACACGCAUCGAGCAAAGCAGCACCACCUUUCAAGGAAUCAUUCCCAGUCAAGAAGCAUGAUGCUUUGGGAAAAUUAAAUUGGAUGUGGUAUUUGGCAUGCUCGAAAAUUACAGGUCCAAAGAGUUGCUCUUCCAUGUGGUCCCCUUUAACAGUGGCUAUCACGCUAUCCUCGGACGGGACACUUUCUCACAUUUCCAAGCUAUACCCCAUUACGGGCAUAUGAAGCUUAAAAUGCCAGGGCCUAAUGGAAUAAUCACAAUUUCGAGUGACCUGGACAAAGUGCUCCGAGCCGAAAACAAAACUGCAUCCUUAGCCCUCGAGGCACUAUCCGAAGCCUGAGCGGCAGAAGAACUUACCACCCUACGAUCAACGGGGGAUAGAGACGAUGUGAUUCUCGAUAAGAGACCUAAAUCCACCUCUUUCAAGCCAGUAGACGAAAUAGUUAAAUUUCAACUGCACAUGACGGACCCUAGUAAAACAGCGUCCAUCGGAGCGCAACUGGAUCUGGCAGUAGACGUCGCCUUACGCACAUUCUUACGCGAAAAUUUGGAUAUCUUCGCCUGGCACCCUUCGGACAUGCCCGGGAUCCCAUGCAGGCUGGCCGAACACAGCCUAAACAUCAUUAAGGGGUUUAAACCCGUCAAGCAGACAUUGCGGCGAUUUUCCGAACCCAAACGUCAAGCCAUGGGGGAAGAGCUGGCCAAACUGUUAGAAGCCGGGUUCAUCAGGCAAAUCAAACACCCGGAUUGGCUAGCCAACUUGGUCAUGGUGCCAAAGAAGGACAAAUCCUGGCGCCUUCCUGUCGAUUUCAAAGACCUCAAUAAGCUUGCCCCAAAGAUCCUUUCCCGUUACCCCGCGUUGAUAAAAUCAUCGAUGCGACCGCAAGGCAUGACUCAUUGUGUUUCCUCGACGCUUAUUUCGGAUACCAUUAGAUCAAAAAGAAGGAAUCCGACCAGGCCGCCACGGUGUUCAUCACCCCAUAUGGCCCUUUCUGCUUCAACACCAUGUUCUUUGGGCUCAAAAACGCUGGUGCCACUUACCAACUUAUGAUUCAAACAUGCUUUGGAAAACAAAUCGGCAAAAUAGUCGAAGCAUAUGUGGACGACGUGGUCAUCAAAACCAAACAUGUCGAAACACUGGUGGACGACCUUCGCCUCACCUUCGACAACUUCCGAGCAUAAGACAUACGACUCAAUCCAAAAAAAUGUGUCUUCGGAGUUCCAGCCGGAAAGCUACUAGGGUUCAUCGUUUCCCAUAGAGGAAUUGAACCAAAUCUAGCUAAAAUCCUAGCCUUGUCACAAUUGGCUAUACCAACAGACCUAAAGCAAGUCCAAAAACUAGUAGGGUGCAUGGCGGCUUUAAGCCGCUUUAUCUCCAGAUUAGGAGAGAAAGCAUUACCACUUUACAUGCUACUUAGAUGCACUGAUAGCUUUGAAUGGACGGACGCUGCCACAGCCGGAUUGGAAGAAAUCAAAGCCUUACUAGCAGGCAACCCAAUCCUGGCUGCCCCAGGUGUUGGUGAGCCCAUGUUGCUUUAUAUCUCCGCAACUCACCAGGUAGUAAGUGCUGUACUCGUCGUCGAGCGAGGGGAAGAGGGACAUAAAUUACCCAUCCAAAAGCCAGUUUACUACAUAUCGGAGGUCCUCACACCAUGCAAAUCCCGAUACCCCCACUAUCAAAAGAUAGCUUAUACGGUCUUUAUGGCAUCUCAAAAACUACGACACUAUUUUCAAGAGUGUUCGAUCACAGUGGCAUCUGAAGUACCACUUAACGACAUUAUCAACAACAGGGAUACCACUGGCCGCAUAGCCAAAUGGGCCAUCGAACUCCUACCGUUCGAAAUAACAUACAAGCCAUGUCGGGCUAUUAAAUCUCAGGUGUUGUCUGACUUCAUCGCUGAAUGGACGGAAGCCGAACUCCCUAAAGAGUAUAGUUCAUACUCCAACUGGACUAUGUACUUUGACGGCUCUAAAAUGCUAGCCGGACUGGGGGCUGGCGUCAUCUUGACACACCACCGGGGACACAAUCUGCUACAUGUUACAAAUCAUGUAUACGGACUCCAAUAAUGCAGCCGAAUACGAGGCACUUCUACACGGUCUUCACAUGGCUGUCUCCACGGGUGUACAAUGCCUCGAGGUGCGCGGAGAUUCUAACCUCGCAAUAUCCUAGGUCAAUGGAGAGUUCGAUGCAAAAGAUCCAAAAAUGGCGGCAUAUCGAAAUGUCGUAUUAAAAAUAUCAACUCGGUUCGAGGGACUUGAAUUCCAUCAUGUCGCUCGAGACAGUAACCAGGCAUAAUAAGGAUCAACGUGAUGAUUGUCGAUGUCAAAACCGGCGGAUCUCGGGUAGGGGGUCCCGAUCUGUGCGUCUAAGGCUGAUGGUAACAGGAGGCAAGGGACACAAUGUUUUACCCAGGUUCAGGCCCUCUCGAUGGAGGUAAAACCCUACUUCCUGCUUGAUUGAUAUUGAUGAUAUGGGUAUUACAAGAGUUGAUCUACCACGAGAUCGUAGAGGCUAAACCCUAGAAGCUAGCCUAUGAUGAUUAUGAUUGUGAUCAUCCCUCUAAGGACUAAACCCUCCGGUUUAUAUAGACACCGGAGGGGGCUAGGGUUUACAUGGAGUCGGUUACAAAGAAGGAAAUAUAAUAUCCGGAUCGCCAAGCUUGUCUUCCACGCAAAGGAGAGUCCCAUCCGGACAUGGGACGGAGUCUUGAGUCUUGUAUCUUCACGGUCCAACAGUCCGGCCAAAGCAUAUAAUCCGGCUGUCCGGAUACCCCCUAAUCCAGGACUCCCUCAGUAGCCCCUGAACCAGGCUUCAAUGACGCAGUUCUGUCUUUGGCUUUGCAAGGCGGGUUCCAUCUCCGAAUACUCCAAAGUAAUUACCGAACACCUAAACCAUGUCCGAAUCUGCAAGAUGAUCUUCGCAUACCGCUGUAGCAUAGCACUUCAUAAAUUUGAUCCGCUGGCAAUUUUUGCACGGCGUGCUCCUGCAUCAUGGCCCGGCCCAACAUGAACCGGUUUUCCUUAGCCUGCUUCGAUACGCGUUGCGAGGCGGUUUUAUUGGCUCGUCCUGACAAAGCAGAGAUCAUGUUCCCCUUAUCGUGGGAUCUUCCAUCGAUACGGGCGUGCGCAGCCCCACGAUGACUGUUGGUAUGACUCCAUGUUUUUAGGUAAGUCCCAAGCGGUUACGCUGAGGAUGCUUGAUAUUCAUCCGCCUUAAAAAGGGGCCGAGGCCUAUCCCUCUUUUCCACCACCCUUGCGCCUUUUCGCAUCUCGAGUUCUAACACCGAAACCCAAGCUCAAGCACCCCUGAUCCUCUACUAUGUUUGGAUCGAACCCUCAAGGCCAGUGGGUGGCUGCCCCCGACUUCCGUCCGGGCCCUCCUUCUCAACUGGCGUCAUGGACCAAUGUAGAAGGGAUUGGGGAUCUGCUAGUGAUGUACCAUUAUCGCAGAGCCGUAUUCGGGAGCCUCUUGAGAGGGACAUUAGCCUUGUCAGCAUAAUUCAGGUAAUGCUAAUCCGAUGGAUGUUGCCGUGCAAACGCCGUUCUCUCCGAAUGUGGGAGUUUAAUCCGGAAGGUCCGCGAACUAUUCUGCACUUCGUGGGCCUAACGCUCGAAGGGAUGUGUAAACUAUUCUUCAGACCACAAGUAAAGUAUCCAAACCAGCGAGGAUGCGGGCCUGAGCUGCAAUCGCCCAGAUACCCAAGUAAGUAACCCAGAAACCAAACAUUUCGUCUAUUUUUAUCAUAGACAUUAUUCUGAAAGUUCUCCAUGGCCAGGAGUGGCUUAGCAAGGCGGAGAAAAUCAGGUGUCCGGCGCCACUUCCUGAAGGCUCGCUAAGUCCCACCAUAGCCAAGAUGCUUGGUGGUGUGCUAAGCAAAAUGCCGUAAGGGAAAGACGAAGGGAAGAACUGGGAAGCGGAACUUCACACGUUGCGCAUCCAAACCGGGGAAAUUGCCAUCUCCCUAAAGGAUGAUAGCCGGGAAGGGGAAUCUAUAGCCUCCUCCCCUCGUGGGAAGAAGAGGGCCGCCUCCGAAGACUUGGAGAUGGAGGUGCCCAAACAGGGGAAGAAAGCUUCACCAGGGGGCCCUGCCUCGAAGGGCGUCCUCACCGCGUCAUGCCCGCUGAGGAAGUCCUGGAUUAGGGGGUGUACGGAUAGCCAAACUAUCACCUUUGGCCGGACUCCUGGACUAUGAAGAUACAAGAUUGAAGACUUCGUCCCGUGUCCGGAUGGGACUUUCCUUGGUGUGGAAGGCAAGCUUGGCGAUACGGAUAUGUAGAUCUCCUACCCUUGUAACCGACUCUGUGUAACCCUAACCCUCUUCGGUGCCUAUAUAAACCGGAGGGUUUUAGUUCGUAGGACGAACAACAAUCAUACCAUAGGCUAGCUUCUAGGGUUUAGCCUCUCUGAUCUCGUGGUAGAUCUAGUCUUGUACUACCCAUAUCAUCAAUAUUAAUCAAGCAGGAGUAGGGUUUUACCUCCAUCGAGAGGGCCCGAACCUGGGUAAAAACAUGGUGUCCCUUGUCUCCUGUUACCAUCCGCCUAGACGCACAAUUCGAGACCCCCUACCCGAGAUCCGCCGGUUUUGACAUCGACAUUGGUGCUUUCAUUGAGAGUUCCUCUGUGUCGUCAUCCUUAGGCCCGAUGGCUCCUCCGAUCAUCAACAACGAUGCGGUCCAGGGUGAGACUUUUCUCCCCGGACAGAUCUUCGUAUUCGGCAGCUUUGCACUGCGGGACAAUUCGCUUGGCCGUCUGGAGCAGAUUGAAAGCUACGCCCCUGGCCAUCAGGUCAGAUUUGGAAGUUUGAACUAUACGACUGACGUCCAUGGAGAAUUGAUCUUCGACGGGUUCGAGCCACAGCCAAGCGCGCCGCACUGUCACGAUGGGCACGAUCUAGCUCUGCCGCCGGACAGUGCCCUGGAGGCCGCACAAGUGUCCGCUCCGACCCUUAGCUCGGAGCCGACUGCGCCGACCGAGGACGGGUGGUUGGACACCGCCUCAGGGGCUGCUAUCUCUACGGCGAUGGAGCCGAAUACUAUCCCUGUCCUUUGCAAGGCUCGUAACUCCAAGGUACCGGACUCCUCUCCGGACUCCGGACCUUCCGCGCCCCUGCCAAUCAAACCCGAUUGGCCGCCGGUCAUGGAGUUCACCACUGCGGACAUCUUUCAGCACUCGCCCUUUGGCGACAUCCUGAAUUCACUAAAGCCUCUCUCUUUAUCAGGAGAGCCCUGGUCGGACUAUGGUCAGGAAGGCUGGGAUAUGGACGACGAAGAAAUUCAAAACCCACCCACCACCCACUUCGUAGCCACUGUCGAUGAUUUAACCGACAUGCUCGACUUCGACUCCAAAGACAUCGACGGUAUGGACGACGAUGCAAGAGACGACCAAGAACCAGUGCCUACAGGGCACUGGAAGGCCACAAAUACAACGUACGCUCCGCGAAGAGGACGAGGCGCAGGUCGACUCCUGCCUUCUCCUUCCGAGCUACGCCACAAAUACAACAUGCGCUCCACGAGGAGGACGAAGCACAGGUCGACUGCUACCUUCCCCUCCAAAACUAUGCCACGAAAAUCCUACCAAGUGGAGAGCAAACCUCCCACUCGGGGGCUUAGCUGCAGCCCAGUGCUCGCCUAAGUUUCAAAAAUCCUACCGAGUGGAGAGCAAACCUCCCACUCGGGGGCUUAGCUGCAGCCCAGUGCUCGCCUAAGUUUCUAAAAUCCUACCGAGUGGAGAGCAAACCUCCCACUCGGGGGCUUAGCUGCAGCCCAGUGCUCGCCUAAGUUUCUAAAAUCCUACCGAGUAGAGAGCAAACCUCCCACUCGGGGGCUUAGCUGCAGCCCAGUGCUCGCCUAAGUUUCUAAAAUCCUACCGAGNNNNNNNNNNNNNNNNNNNNNNNNNNNNNNNNNNNNNNNNNNNNNNNNNNNNNNNNNNNNNNNNNNNNNNNNNNNNNNNNNNNNNNNNNNNNNNNNNNNNNNNNNNNNNNNNNNNNNNNNNNNNNNNNNNNNNNNNNNNNNNNNNNNNNNNNNNNNNNNNNNNNNNNNNNNNNNNNNNNNNNNNNNNNNNNNNNNNNNNNNNNNNNNNNNNNNNNNNNNNNNNNNNNNNNNNNNNNNNNNNNNNNNNNNNNNNNNNNNNNNNNNNNNNNNNNNNNNNNNNNNNNNNNNNNNNNNNNNNNNNNNNNNNNNNNNNNNNNNNNNNNNNNNNNNNNNNNNNNNNNNNNNNNNNNNUGCUACCUUCCCCUCCAAAACUAUGCCACGAAAAUCCUACCAAGUGGAGAGCAAACCUCCCACUCGGGGGCUUAGCUGCAGCCCAGUGCUCGCCUAAGUUUCAAAAAUCCUACCGAGUGGAGAGCAAACCUCCCACUCGGGGGCUUAGCUGCAGCCCAGUGCUCGCCUAAGUUUCUAAAAUCCUACCGAGUAGAGAGCAAACCUCCCACUCGGGGGCUUAGCUGCAGCCCAGUGCUCGCCUAAGUUUCUAAAAUCCUACCGAGUGAAGAGCAAACUCUCACUCGGGGGCUUAGCUACAGCCUAGUGCUCGCCUAAGUUUCAAAAAUCCUGUCGAGUGGAGAACAAAUCUCCCACUCAAGAGGCUUAGCUGCAGCCCAGCACUCGCCUAAACAUGACGAGUACAAGUCGAUUGCAAUUUGUGCUUCGUCCCUACCUGCAAAAGAGCAUCACAGACACUAGUAUAUAUUCCAACCCAAGAAAGAUGGUUGCUCGAAAGCAGAAGCAAACAUAUUUCAGCGGCAAACCAAGUUCAGAUAACGUCCUACGGAUCCAGAAGUGCUCAGGCACCAAGCCUGUUAAGGUUUAUCGGUUACAAAAAUCACUCGGCAUUUCGAGGCAAAUUCACAGCAUCAAGCAUAGAAGUUUUUUACCCCUCCUGCGGAGGGCUGGAAGGCGCAACAAACUCGUCCAGAUCGAUCCCGUCUGUGAUCCGAGUGGCGGCAGCAAUGAAGGUCUCCAUGAAAGAACGGAAGUCAUGCUUCCUGGUAUUGGCCACCUUGAGAGACACCUUGUCUUCUCUCGCUUCCUUGCAGUGGACGCGGACUAAGGACAGAGCAACGUUGACACCACACCUGGCAGAAGACUUCUUCCAUUCUUGCACUCGACUUGGAACUUCGUUCAGUCGAGUCAUCAGAGACUCGAGGUCGUUCUGAAGUGUUUCUUCUGACCAGAGUGAUGUAUCGAUGCGCGACGUUGCAACCUUCAGUCUUGCAAGGUAGUCGACCACUGCAGCAAUGCGAGACUCAAGGCGGAGCACGUUCAUAGCGGCUUCAUCUUUCACUGGAGAGUUGAUGGGGUCCAAGCCAGUCUCCACUCGACUAGUCUCUUCUUCAAAGUUUUGGCAGAAUUCUGUGGACACGAUUCAAGGAUAAGCUAAUGUUCCUAUAGUAAGUCAGUAAUUACCAGUCGGAUAUAAGGGGUUACCUUCAAGCAUCAGGAACAGCUUCUUGGCGAGUCCUCCCAGAUAAACCUCCAAGUCAUUCUUCUUUCCCGCCAGUUCGCCAGCUUUGUCACUCAUGACCAUCUUGUCAUUCUUUAGUCGAGUGACCUCCUGGUUGGCCACGUCGAGAGCAGCUUUCUGAUUAGUGUUUUCCUCUUCAAGUUUGUUGACCGAAGCCAACUUCUCUUCUGCAAGUUUGGUUUUGUCCGAAGCCGCUUUUUGCGCCUCGGCGAGGUCAAGGUCCUUCUUCUUCAGAGCAUCCCUCAGUUUAUCUGCAAAAUCACAAUAAGAUCAGACUCGGAGAAAGGCAAGAAGCAAAGACAGUCGUCAAGAUUCUCACCAAACAUACCUUUUGCCCCCUCCUUCGCCUUCGUGAAGUUCUCCUGGACAAGCUUCAGAUCAAGUUCGAGCUGGAUAUGCUUGUUCUCCAACUCGGUAUAACGAGAAACAAGGUCACAAGAUUUCUGCGAAAGAUCAGUCGACAGUCAUCAAAGACAGAUCACUUCCGAGUGACUAAAGAAAAAAAAUUGUAGUGUUUCUAAGACUACAGCUGAAUCUAAACAUUCAACUGUAGUCUCAGGGAGUACACCCAGUGGGUGCACUCAGCGUGCCCCCACUAGUUCUAUCAGCUAGAACCAGAGUCGAUCAGUCGACCGGAAACAGCUAACUGUCAGUAGUUAGACACAAAAAAAUGAAGAAUUAUUCAGACCAUAGCCGACUGCCAGCAGUCGACCACGGUCUCGGGGACUACACCCAGUGGGCGCACUCAGCGUGCCCCCACCGGUUCCAUGAUUCCACUCGACCAUUUCGAGUGAAACAAGUAAAAAUGAGAAAGUUCAAGGCUUAAAGACUACAGUCGUCUGCAAGCAGUCCACCGUAGUCUCGGGGACUACACCCAAUGGGUGCACUCAGCGUGCCCCCACUAAUACAGACAUUCCAAUCGACACACCCAGCGGGUGCAUGACAAACACUAAGAUUUUCAGUCGGUGUUCAACUAACCUGGACAUUGCUCUGAAGAGCUGAACUCGCGUCGUAAGCUGCUUGGCUGGUGACUCGGAUCGCCUUCACCUGCUCCAUCAUGAUCCCCGCUUGGCGUAUGGCUUCCUUGGCAGCGCCUGCCUAGUCCUCCGGGACGUGGUAUGUGGAGAAGAGAGAAGGUGGAUCAGCACUCGACGACGGAGGACGGGCACUUGUCAACGGAUCCGCAAAAGACACAGUAGCCCGAGCAACAUUGCUCCCCUCCGGAACCAAUGGUUCAGGUGCUGACGCAACCUGAGCAGUCUUGCCAGCAGUCGACUUCCUGCUCCUCCUUUGCCUCAGCGGCGCUUCAUCGUCAUCGUCAGGGAGAUCGAUGAUAAUGCUAGGUGGAGCUGCAGAAAAGGUUCAAAGUCAAAAAUAAAGAUCCAAUCGACCGAAAGCGAAACUGCGCAGAUCAUACCAGGAUGAGAAGUAGCAGCAUCUUCCAUUUCUUGAUCCUAAUGCCUGGCUGAAGUUUCAGAAGUAGCAUCACUGCAAUUUCAAAAAUCAGUCGGUCAUCGAUCGAGUCGACAAAGAAUAUAUCCAUGAUAAAAGGAAAAAACAUGAGUUAUGCUGUUACCCAGAAAUAGUCGGGAUCUCCAUCCUCAUCUUCGGUAGGGCCUUCCCUGGCUUUGUCGGGGCCGCUCGGGGUUUCUUUGACGCGUUCUCAGUUGGCGCCGGUGAAGUCGUCCGAGGGCGUUUUGUCGAUUGCCCAGCAGGCACGACUCCCUUGCCGCGUUCGACCGCAGGGUCGUGGGCGAGCUUGGACCUUCUUUCAGAACGGGGAGGCACAACUUCCUCCUCCUCUUCCUCCUCCUCCUCCUCAUCGGAGUCUGCAUCUUCAUCAUCUUCGUCGCUGACCGACUCCCACUCCUCUUGACUUUCGCCUCCGCUCCCUUCCUCCUCCUCGGUCUGUGCUUGCGCCUCGUUGGGCAUCGAAUACAACUCAGUGGUGGCCUGAAAGACAACAAACAAGACAAAAGUCGAUCGACUGAUCUAUAUCAAAACAGAAUGGACGAAACAUGAUUACAAUCGGAGAUAAGUGGUCAUACCUUGUCUGGCUCAUAAGAUUGGCCGAGUGGCGGGAUCCUCCUGGCUCCAUGAGGGUUGUCCUUGUUCCCUGUAAUGGCAGUCAUCCACCUCUCUAGUGUGACAUCGUCGACUUCUUUUGGGUGGACCCGAGUGGUGUCUUCAGUACCAGAGUACAACCACAUUGGGUGACCCCGGUACUGGAGUGGCUGGAUACGUCGUUGAUGGAAAACCUCCAGAAGAUCCAUGCCAGUCACGCCAUCGCGAAUGAGUUGGACUACCCGCUCCAUCAGCAUUUUAACCUGAGCCUUCUCCUCUGGAAUCACUUUCAGAGAAGAUGGCUUGUUCACUCGACUCAUGGUGAAGGGAGGGAGCCCAGUCGACUGCCCUGGCGUCGACCGGUCUUGGCAGUAGAACCAGGUCGACUGCCACCCUCUAACUGACUCGGGAAGGGUCAUAGCUGGAAAGGCACUCUUACUCCUCAUCUGGACCCCAAGACCCCCACACAUCUGGAUUACUUGGGUUCUCUCGUCAUUCGGAUUGGCCUUCUUGACCGUCUGAGAGCGGCAAGUGAAUAUGUGUUUGAAAAGGCCCCAAUGCGGCCGACAACCCAAGAAGUUUUCGCACAGAGACACAAAAGCGGCGAGAUAGGCAAUAGAAUUGUGUGUCAAGUGAUGGAGCUGAGCCCCGAAGAAGUUCAGAAACCCCCGAAAGAAGAGAUGCAGCGGCAAAGAAAACCCACGAUCGACAUGAGUCGCUAGGAGGACACACUCAACCUCCUGAGGCUGCGGCUGCCACUCCGUCCCCGGAAGCCUCGCUGCUCCGUGCUCGAUCAGCCCCUCGUUGGCCAGGUCGUCGAGAUCCUUCUGGGUGAUGGUUGAACAGAUCCAAUCCCCUUGGAUCCAACCUUGUGGCAGGCGGGACCGCGACGAGGAUCCACCCCGACUGGUCGCUCUCCCCUUCGCCUGCGCCGUCGCCUUCUUCGCCCGCUCCAAAGCCGUCGUUUUCUCCUUCACCAUUGUUGCCGACGAGGCUGGAACGGAGCAGUGGCGCUGGGCAAUUGGCGAGCACAGCGGAUGGAUCUAGAGACGAGGGAGGGGAAAAUGAGGAGGCACUAUUCAAAAAACCUCCGCCCGGUUCCUUAUAUGGAGUCACUUCCGAGUGGCUGACAGGUAGGCCCAGGCAAUACUGUCAAAUCCCAAAACAAUCGCGCAGGCGAUAUGUGGCGAAAAAGACGGUGCGGGAAUCGAGGCGUCCCUGCCUUAUCCCAUCCGAGUACCGCGGUCUUCUCUGCUUCGCGCGCUUCCCAAAAUUCAGAUCCCACUAAAUCCGCUAACCGCAGGAUAACUUGUCAGACGGAAGAUCUCCUGCGAUCCGUCGCUCGGAAAUCUCCAAGUCCGUAAAGUUCACUCGACAGAUAUAAAGAAUGGAUCAAGGCGACUGAAAGAAAGUUGACAUCCUCACUUGAAAGUCAUUGAUCCAGAGCAAAACACCUUUACAACACCAGAAAGCAGGUCGGAAAGAUUGCCAACUCCUUCCUCACUCAAACCUCGAUCCAUUCGGGAGCUAAUGAUGAAGUUAUGUACCCAGGGUAGGGUCAUGGACCUGUCCAAGGUACCCUCCCCAAGGACAUCUUUUAGAAGAAGCCGUCUUCCAGUCGACCAAGAGGUACUCCACUCGAGGGACUAGAGGACGCUCGACAAACCUGAAGACACUCGACCAUGAAGACUUACUCGACCGCCAGGAGUUCAAGAUCUACUCUGUAUCCAAAUGGUCUGUAAUUAAGUAGUCUUUAUGGUCAUGAUGACACUUUAUGUAGGGCGUUACCAGUAACGCCAGGCUUUAAUGUACUUAAAACUCUCCGCUACGUGGGUUGGCUGGGGUCUUGGCAUCCUCUAUAUAAGCCACCCCUCCACUAGCAGAAGGGUUCGCACCCCUGUAACUCUCACACAUAUAAUCCAGUCGACCGCCUCCGGGCUCCGAGAUGUAGGGCUGUUACUUCCUCUUAGAAGGGCCUGAACUCGUAAAACACUUGUGUGCACAACUGCUCCAUAGCUAGGAUCUUGCCUCUCCAUACCUACCCCCUAUUCUACUGUCAGACUUAGAACCACGACAACUGCUUCAGCUGGUCGCUCAAGGGCACCGGGUGUCCGGCCUCAGCAUACUGAGACCAGAACACCUUCUCCGUCGAGCUCCCCUCCUCGGCCCGGUAGAAUGCGGUAGCGUCGGACACACUGCGGGGCAGAUCUGCGAAUGCUCCUGGAGAGCUCCGGAUUCGGGUAAGUAACAAGUAAUUCACUUUCAUGUGUUUGCUUUGCAUGAAGAAUGCCUUACCCGCCGCUAUCUUCUUCAUUGCCUCAAUUUCCUGGAGGGCUUUUUGGGCUUCGGCCUUAGCGGCUUUGGCGCUCUCAAGAGCCGAGGUGAGCUCGGACUCUCGAGUCCUUGAGUCACACUCCAAACUCUCAUGUUUUUCCACGAGAGCCUGGAGCUCUUGCCACACUUCCGCCACCCACGCCUCCUGCUUCUCUCGCUCGGUGCGUUCCGCGACCGCAUUGCUUUUGGCCUUGGACACUGCUUCCUUCAGGGACGCCACCUCGUUCGUGGCCCCUGCAAUUCUCAUGUUAUUCCUGCUAUUACCACAUCUUUUAUAUACUUCCAUAAGGUAUUACUUACAUUCCUUGUCCUCGAGCCGCUUUUUGGCAAGGCCGAGCUCGUUCUCGGACCGCUCGAGGCUCUGCUUCAAUGCAUCGAUGUCACAUCCCCAGUUCAGGCCUUGCUUGUUUUUGCUUUAGCAUCCAUGCAUCAUGUUUAAAUUUUUUAUGAAACUUGAAAUGGGGGCUGAUAAACCCUAGCAACUAACGAAUUCAACUAGGGUCAAAAUAAAAUCUUUUUCAAUAAACCCAAAAUACCCUCUGGAAAUGUUCAUGAUUUCUGGUAAAGGUGAAAACCUCAGCAAAAAAUGAUGCACAUAUUUCUAGGCCAUUUUGGAUUUUUGAAUUAAAUCAUUACUUAUUUGCAUUUGGGUAUUUAAAUACUAUAAAAUAUUUUAAAUGCUCAAAUAAUCCCAAACUGAAAUGUUUACUGUAGGAUAUAUUCUAACAGUGGUCAUGAGCAGUUGCAUGAUUUUGGGAUUGAUUUAGUAUUUUUAAUAAAGCCACAAAGCUGCAGAAAAAUAGAAAACAGGAAAAGAGAGAUAGAGAGAGAAGUACCUGACGCUCACCUCGCAGCCCACCUGGCCCAACUCCAGCGGCCCAGCCCACCGUAGCCGCCACCGUCUUCAACCUCCUGCCAGUAGGCAGGAGGGCGUGUGGCCACCGCGCGCCGGCACGCGCCCAAGCCACCUCCUGCUUCCGCCGCUUCUGGAGCCAGCCCCGAGUGCCACACACUCCCCCUCGCCCCCCUGCACCUCUCCUUUCUCCCCCUGGACCCCAUCCCUUCUUCUGCUCCCCUCUUGCGCGCACCACCGAGCGGAGCUCGUCGUUAUCGUCGCCGUACCCGUGGCCACCGGCCACCCCUCGCCCUGCCGCUGCGCCCAGACGCCCCGCCUCGUCCCCCUCUUCCUCCUCACCAAGACGGAAGGCGCCGGAAGCCCUGGGUGCCGCUAGCUCCGCCGUUCCCCUCCUCGGCCACGGAGAAUCGCCGCCGUCGAUAUGCCGCCGUCUCCGCCUCCCCGAGCUCGCUAAGACCGUCUCUGACCCCGCUGUGAGCUCCGCCUUCUUCUCCCCUGUUCCCCGUGCCCGUACGCACCCUCUAGCCACCCUAGUCACCGGAGCCGAACGCUCCCCGCCGCCGGCCAUGGCGCCGCCGUAGCUAGAGCGCACCCACGAUGCAUUCGAGCCUACCCCCGUGCUCAGCGAGUCCGCAGGACUCCGUAGCAACCCGCAGCUCGUCCUCCCGUGCACCAAAACACCGUGUCCGAGCGUGCCCGAACUCCGGCUGCCGCAGAAGUGCUCGCCGUCGUUAACUCCGGCCACCCCAGCACCAAACACCGCCACCAUUGGAUGCACCACAUCGCCAGCUACUCAUAGCGCCCACCCGCGCAUCAAACCGUGGCCGGAGCAGCGUUUCCGACGCUCUCCGUCGUCUCAGCCUCGCCGGCGACUCGACGCCGACAGGUUUGACCUGCUGACCAUUGACUGGGUGGGCCCAGUUUGACCCCCUGGGUCACUGACAUGUGGGCCACCCUUGUUAAUUUUAGUUAGGUUAGUUUAGUGCUAAUUAACCUAGAUUAGUGACUAACCUAACACUAACUAACUCUGUUUUAGUUAGUCAACUAACCACUAACACGUGGGACCCACAGGUCAGGUUUGACCUGGACCUGGCGUGUUGACUCUGCUGACGUCACCCCGACAUCAUGCUGACGCAAUUAACAAUUUUUUGGAUUUAAAAUAAAUCCAGGAAAUUCCAGAAAAUGUCCUAAACUUCUAAAAAUCAUAGAAAAUCAACCGUAGCUCAGAAUGAAAUAAUUUAUAUAUGAAAGAUGAUCAGAAAAAUCCAAUCUAUCCAUCUGUACCAUUCUCAUGCAUGUUAGAACAACUUAUAGCUGCUUUUUAGCACAAGUCAUAUAAAUGGCAUUUGAAUUUCACAUAUGGAGUUUGGAUUUGAACUUAGGGUUCGAACCAACUUCAUUUAACUUUGUUGCUAGCUGCAUUAGCUCAAAACCACAGCAUAUUGCCAUGUCACAUUCAUGCAUCAUAUUGUUGCAUUGCAUUGAUUGUGUUCUCCCUUGUUUGCCGGUAUUUGUCCCCUCUCAGUAGACGACGUUCCGACGAUGAGUUCGAUGACACCGAUGAAGAACUAUAUUAUCUUCAGAAGUGCCAGGCAAGCAAAACCCCCUUGUUCAUUCCGAUACAAUCCCACUCUCUCGCUCCUGCUCUCUUUUACUGCAUUAGGACAACACCGGUUCAACUGUUACUUGCUACGGUAGCUGAACCCCUUUAUCCUUUGCAUGACCUGUCAUUGCCACAGUAAAUAGAUGAAGCCCACUAGCAUGAGUAGGAGUUGUUUGAGCCCUGAUGUGCCUACUCAUUCAUGCUUCUUUGUCAUGCCUGUUAUUGCUUAGAGUUGAGUCAGGUCUGAUUCAUCGGGGAUGAAUUGGAGGUGUGUGAACAUGUCCUACUGUGUGUGAGCUAAGUGUGUGAACACGAUUUGGUAAAGGUAGCGGUGAGAGGCCAUGUAGGAGUACAUGGUGGGUUGUCUCAUUGCAGCCGUCCUCAGGAACUGAGUUCUGUGUUUGUGAUCCAUGAAUAGCUACUACCACACAUUGGGAUCCUUAAUUGACUCUCUCGACUUAUUAAUCAACAUGAUCUCUAUCCAGGAGUUGCAACUAGUUUCUGGUGUUUGUAGGUAGUGUUAGUAGUCUACCAAGUGGCACCCAGUACAGGUGGGCUUGGGACAGAGUAGGCACAGUGGCCUGGUGUACCAAGUGGCACCCGGAUGGUGGGCUUGGGAACCCUACACACAUCGUUUGGGGCCGUGAGCGACACCCCGGCCGGAUCUCCUUGCGGAUGGAACCCGAAUAGGUCAUAAACCUGGACGAGAGACUUGUGUGGUUAGUCAGGUCGUGGCCGACACCCUCGCUGGGCUUCCGCUUGAAGGUUGCCGAGUACAUGUCGUGUAAAUGGCGGUAAGUGGUAGGAGCGUGUGUGAAGAAGUACACCCUUGCAGGGUUAAUAUGAUCUAUUCGAAUAGCCGUGUCCGCGAUAAAGGACUUCUGGGUUGCCUGUACAGUUCAUAGACAAGUGAAAGUGGAUACUCUAAAAUACGCAAGAUAAGCGUGAGUGCUAUGGAUGGCGUUCUCGUAGGGAGACGGGAGCGGAUCCAUAGUGGUGUAUUGAUAUGGUGAAUAUGUGGACUCAUGUGCGCCACCUCAAAAGAGUUACUUGCAGUCGUAGUUCAGGUUAGCCACCGAGUCAAAGCUGGCUUGCUGCAGUUAAACCCCACCAUCCCCUUGUUGAUAAUGAUGCAUAUGUAGUUAGAUCUGAUGUAAGUCUUGCUGGGUACAUUUGUACUCACGUUGCUUAAUUUUUGUUUUUGCAGAGAGACUUCAGUCUCGCUAGUAGUACCACGUGGACUUCGACGUUUAGCUUGUUACCUCAGCUACGAUCUUGUGCCUUCGGCAGGAUCUGGUAGACAGUCAGGCUUCUC